rnacentral:rRNA from 1 species
GUGGGGAAUUUUGGACAAUGGGCGCAAGCCUGAUCCAGCAAUGCCGCGUGCAGGAAGAAGGCCUUCGGGUUGUAAACUGCUUUUGUACGGAACGAAAAGGCUCUGGUUAAUACCUGGGGCUCAUGACGGUACCGUAAGAAUAAGCACCGGCUAACUACGUGCCAGCAGCCGCGGUAAUACGUAGGGUGCAAGCGUUAAUCGGAAUUACUGGGCGUAAAGCGUGCGCAGGCGGUUUUGUAAGACAGAGGUGAAAUCCCCGGGCUCAACCUGGGAAUUGCGCUUGUGACUGCAGCGCUGGAGUGCGGCAGAGGGGGAUGGAAUUCCGCGUGUAGCAGUGAAAUGCGUAGAUAUGCGGAGGAACACCGAUGGCGAAGGCAAUCCCCUGGGCCUGCACUGACGCUCAUGCACGAAAGCGUGGGGAGCAAACAGGAUUAGAAACCCCGGUAGUCC